GAUCAUUACUGAUUUGCUUAAUUGCACCACAUGUGUUUUUCUUUGAAACAAACUUGCUUUGGCGGUGGGCCCAGCCUGCCGCCAGAGGUCUAAACUUACAACCAAUUUUUUAUCAACUUGUCACACCAGAUUAUUACUAAUAGUCAAAACUUUCAACAACGGAUCUCUUGGUUCUCGCAUCGAUGAAGAACGCAGCGAAAUGCGAUACGUAAUAUGAAUUGCAGAUAUUCGUGAAUCAUCGAAUCUUUGAACGCACAUUGCGCCCUCUGGUAUUCCGGAGGGCAUGCCUGUUUGAGCGUCGUUUCUCCCUCAAACCGCUGGGUUUGGUGUUGAGCAAUACGACUUGGGUUUGCUUGAAAGACGGUAGUGGUAAGGCGGGAUCGCUUUGACAAUGGCUUAGGUCUAACCAAAAACAUUGCUUGCGGCGGUAACGUCCACCACGUAUAUCUUCAAACU
rnacentral:misc_RNA from 1 species